AUUGCUUCUUGGCUCUCUAUGAGCUAAGAUCAAAGUGUAGUGUCUGUUCUUAUCAGUUUAAUUUCUUCUGAUGGACAUCUGCAAACACCCGUCCUGAAGAUGGAAUCUUCUGCAGCCAUUUUUGAAAAAAUUGAUGAUGCUUUGAAGAUAUACUCCUGUCAAGGCUGUAUCCCUACUUUGAACUUUAGGGUACAAAUGUAGGGGCCUGCA
ensembl:snRNA U2 U2 spliceosomal RNA